rnacentral:tRNA from 1 species
GCCUGGCUGGCUCAGUCAGUAGAGCAUGCGAUUCUUGAUCCCAAGGUUGUGAUUUCGAUCCCUAUGUUGGGUG